CCAAUAGCGUAUAUUAAAGUUGUUGUGGUUAAAAAGCUCGUAGUUGAACCUUGGGCCUGGCUGGCCGGUCCGCCUCACCGCGUGUACUGGUCCGGCCGGGCCUUUCCCUCUGUGGAACCUCAUGCCCUUCACUGGGUGUGACGGGGAAGCAGGACUUUUACUGUGAAAAAAUUAGAGUGCUCCAAGCAGGCCUAUGCUCGCAUACAUUAGCAUGGAAUAAUAAAAUAGGACGUGCGGUUCUAUUUUGUUGGUUUCUAGGACCGCCGUAAUGAUUAAUAGGGACAGUCGGGGGCAUCAGUAGUCAAUUGUCAGAGGUGAAAUUCUUGGAUUUAUUGAAGACUAACUACUGCGAAAGCAGUUGCCAAGGAUGUUUUCAUUAAUCAGGAACGAAAGUUAGGGGAUCGAAGACGAUCAGAUACCGUCGUAGUCUUAACCAUAAACUAUGCCAACCAGCGAUUAGCCUGAGUUCCUUAAAUGACUCGGCUAGCAGCUUCCG
rnacentral:misc_RNA from 1 species